ACAGCAGCCGCCGCGGGAAUACAGAGGGUGCGAGCGUUAAUCGGAUUUACUGGGCGUAAAGCGUGCGUAGGCGGCUUUUUAAGUCGGAUGUGAAAUCCCUGAGCUUAACUUAGGAAUUGCAUUCGAUACUGGGAAGCUAGAGUAUGGGAGAGGAUGGUAGAAUUCCAGGUGUAGCGGUGAAAUGCGUAGAGAUCUGGAGGAAUACCGAUGGCGAAGGCAGCCAUCUGGCCUAAUACUGACGCUGAGGUACGAAAGCAUGGGGAGCAAACAGGAUUAGAGACCCCAGUAGUCCCUGUCUCUUAUAC
rnacentral:rRNA from 1 species